AACUAAAAGGUGUUAAGAACGAAGGGGUAGUAUGUAUGUACAUACAUCAUAACAUCAUCGUCACCCGGUUCCACCACUUCAUUAACAACAAUUGACUGAUAUACGCCCUUGCUGCCCGCACUGACCUUCUCUCCCUCUCGUUGUUUCCCACAUGUUUAUGUACCCCCUCUCUCCAUUCUUGCAGGGAAUAUAUUUUCGUGUUCCGCUGGACAUUCAGUCCGCUUAGUUUCGGAUGUAGGUCAUAGUUGGGCAGUUGUUUUCUUCCUUCAUCCUGGCUUCCGAGAUUUCUUGACGAAAAAAAAAAAAAGAAAAGGAAAGAAAAGAGUAAAUGGAAAAGACACGAAAUCUUGGAACUUGUUGUACAUACGUGAUGGAUUGGAGGGG
rnacentral:sRNA from 1 species